rnacentral:rRNA from 1 species
UACGGAGGAUGCAAGCGUUAUCCGGAUUUAUUGGGUUUAAAGGGUGCGUAGGCGGAAUAAUAAGUCAGUGGUGAAAGCCUGUAGCUUAACUAUAGAAUUGCCAUUGAUACUGUUAUUCUUGAGUACAGUUGAGGUAGGCGGAAUGCGUAAUGUAGCGGUGAAAUGCUUAGAUAUUACACAGAACACCGAUUGCGAAGGCAGCUUACUAAGCUGGUACUGACGCUGAGGCACGAAAGCGUGGGGAGCAAACAGG